CAUCCUGCGCUCUCAACUCGUCAGUCAGAAAGAGGCCAUGCAACAUAAGGAUGAGAAGGAGACCAUGACUGAACCGUUGCCGUACAUUGAGGAUGUGCAGAAGCUGACUGAUGCCAAGGAAAUCUCCCAGGCCUACAUGGGCCUUAAAGAGACCAACAGAUCACCCAGGUUUACACGCAGACCUACUGAAGUGAACGAGCUUGUGAACAGGUUGAGGUAACAGAUGGACGGGCAUGAUGGGCCGCUCUCACUGCAUGCGUGUGCAGCUCAGAGCACAGUGAAUCAGCCUCAUUCCAGAGCCCAUACAUAGAUGAAAAAGCUUUGACAGUCCAUUAACAGGCAUGACCCUUGACUUAAGAAAAAGAUUGUCUCACAUAGAUUGUCUCAUUUUCUA